GGAGCAUUGGACUUCUUGGUGAAGGUCGCCGCGUUCUCAACGCGGAGAAGCGGGUUCGAAACCCGCAUGCUCUACCA
rnacentral:tRNA from 1 species